CCAGCUAGUAAAGAAGGUAUAGCUGAUUAUUCUCUAUAUAAGAACCAGCUAGUAAAGAAGGUAUAGCUGAUUAUCCUCUAUAUAAGAACCAGCUAGUAAAGAAGGUACAGCUGAUUAUUCCCUAAAAAUAUUCACUUGGUAGCAGACAGUAAAGAAGGUAGCUAAUUGUUAACCAAAUUGAACACAAAUGAUGUUGAUGUUUUUUUGCUCCUUGUGUGUCCCAGAAGCCAUAGUUAACAUGGUAUCCUCUUUCCUCCUCCU